UCUCCGUUGGUGAACCAGCGGAGGGAUCAUUACCGAAGUUACCCUUCGAAACCCAUUGUGAACCAUACCUCUUGCCGCGUUGUCUCGGCGGGAGGCGCGGGGGCCUCGGCUCCGCGUCCCCGCCGGCAGCGCCAAACUCUAAACUGCAAAGCGAACUGCAGGUUCUGAUUUACAAAAAAAACAAGUUAAAACUUUCAACAACGGAUCUCUUGGUUCUG
rnacentral:misc_RNA from 1 species